rnacentral:tRNA from 1 species
UCCCUGGUAGCUCAGUGGUAAAGAAUCUGCCUGCAAUGCAGGAGAUCCAGGUUCGAUCCCUGGUCAGGUAG